UCUGGUGCUGCUUCUUAGAAAAACUUGUAACAAAAUCAGUCUGCAACAGCUUAGACCUGGUGCUGUGUCAUUAAAACAGAAUGGAUCAAAAAACAAGGAGAGCCAUCUAAUUAAGCUCUUGGUAAGAACAAAGCUUGUCUAUUUCCAGUUUUGCAAUAAAUGUCAGCCAUCGGUUUUUCAGGUUUUAUAUUAAGUUGGACUUUUGUUUGUUCCCCCCCCGCUUCCCUUGUUAGUGUUAAAAGCUUUCUAUUUUUAUCCUUGGAUGCCCUCCUUCAUAUUAGUGCUGCUCUAUAUCUAUUUCUUUUAUUUUUCUGUACCAGCAGAAGAUAUUUACAGGGAGCUUAUCUUCUUUUUCUAAACUAAUACAACCUCACUGAAAAAAAGAUUCGAUUCUCAUCCAAGUGGAAGUGCCACUGCCAGCUGAGAAAUCUGACUAAUUCCUCACUUGUGAAAUGAUGUGAUACUCCUUUUCAGGCACCAUUUGGCAAGAUCUACUCGUGAUUUGGACAAGGAAAUAGGAAGAGACUGCCAGGCAACUUGAGCUUGAAGUGGUUUAGUCUGUGGGAGAGUGUGGAGGGGAAGAAAAAGUUUUCAGAUUGCUUCGUCAAUUACCUUCAAGCAGAUGUUGGUUUGGGGCUGCAGCUGUGGAGCUAUUGGUGACUCACAUACAAUGCAGCUAAGAGAGAAGUACAUUUCAGCUUUAUGAAGUAACACCGCACCUUGAAAAUCUUGGGGUGCUUCACUCCAGGCAGGUUUGAUUUCCCUGUUCAUUCCAUUUUUCUUUGACUUUGUAGUAAACAAUCCAUCUUCCCUCUCCUAAAAAGUAAUUCCAAUUGAAUUCCAAACAAUAUAUGCAUAUAUAUUUGCUCUAAUCCUUUUUUCCUAUAGGUGUUUGUUAGGAUUUUAGGAUUUUUAAAGGUUAAGGUUCUUAUUUUCAGUGCAAGACUUUGAAAGGCUUAAAUUAUAAAUGCAUUUUAAAAAUGAAUUGGUCAAGAAAGACCAGUGAAAAAAAAGAAAAUAUGUUGCCUUGAACUUUUAGUAUUACCCAAAGGACUGAGGCAGCAUAGAUGGACAAACAGGGAAAAUUAAGUAUAUAAAAAGUAUAGGUUAUCAAGAUUUAAUCUUUAAGUAAUCUCAUACAUACAACUCUUUAAAUUCAGACA